UACAGAGGGUGCGAGCGUUAAUCGGAAUUACUGGGCGUAAAGCGUGCGUAGACGGUUAUGUAAGUCAGAUGUGAAAGCCCCGGGCUCAACCUGGGAAUUGCAUUUGAGACUGCAUAGCUAGGGUGCGGAAGAGGGAAGCGGAAUUUCCGGUGUAGCGGUGAAAUGCGUAGAUAUCGGAAGGAACACCAGUGGCGAAAGCGGCUUCCUGGUCCAGCAUCGACGUUCAGGCACGAAAGCGUGGGGAGCAAACAGG
rnacentral:rRNA from 1 species